UACAGAGGUCUCAAGCGUGGUUCGGAUUCAUUGGGUGUAAAGGGUGUGUAGGUGGCGUCGUAAGUCGGGUGUGAAAUUUCGGAGCUUAACUCCGAAACUGCAUUCGAUACUGCGGUGCUUGAGGACUGGAGAGGAGACUGGAAUUCAUGGUGUAGCAGUGAAAUGCGUAGAGAUCAUGAGGAAGACCAGUGGCGAAGGCGGGUCUCUGGACAGUUCCUGACACUGAGACACGAAGGCCAGGGGAGCAAACGGG
rnacentral:rRNA from 1 species